UUCCAGACUCCUACGGGAGGCAGCAGUGAGGAAUAUUGGUCAAUGGGCGGGAGCCUGAAUCAGCCAAGUCGCGUGAGGGAAGACGGUCCUACGGAUUGUAAACCUCUUUUGCCGGGGAGCAACGGGGUCCUUGCGAGGGCCCAAUGAGAGUACCCGGAGAAAAAGCAUCGGCUAACUCCGUGCCAGCAGCCGCGGUAAUACGGAGGAUGCGAGCGUUAUCCGGAUUUAUUGGGUUUAAAGGGUGCGUAGGCGGAUUGUUAAGUCAGCGGUAAACGCCCGGGGCCCAACCCCGGCGAGCCGUUGAAACUGGCUGUCUUGAGAUGUCGAGAGGUAUGCGGAAUGCGCAGUGUAGCGGUGAAAUGCUUAGAUAUUGCGCAGAACUCCGAUUGCGAAGGCAGCAUACCGGCGGCGAUCUGACGCUGAGGCACGAAAGCGUGGGUAUCGAACAGGAUUAGAUACCCCGGUAU
rnacentral:rRNA from 1 species